CUAAGGUAGUUACCAAUUUAUUUAACAAUUCUAUUUUAGUGCAUACAACCUUGUUCAUAUGGUAGUUUACUAUAAACUAUUCAUAUGAAGCUGGAAGGGAUUGCGGGAUCAAAUCCGUUUGCAAUUCCUUGUGCAUAGUCAUGCCAAGCUUCUCAAGCUUCUCUAAGUCCUUUAUCAUGGUCAAAUCAUGAUCAUGGACAGACUGCCCAUCGCGCAUCUUGGCUUUGAAGAGCCUCUUGGACACUUCAAACCGAGUGCGUGACUCUGAUCACCAUACAACUCUUGCAGGUGAUUUAAUAUGUCCCUGGCGGUCUUCAUGUUCUCAUGCUGGCAUUGUAAUGCAUUGGACAUGGAUGCCAUUGUGCAGCACCUAACUUUAUUGUCAUUGUUCGUCCACUUAACAUGCGUCUUACGCUGAUCAGUGAUCGGACGGAUUGGUAACACGGGGAUUCCAUGGUCUAACACAUCCGAAUUUCUCACAAUUCAAAACUAUUUUGAAAUUUGCUGAGCCAAUCUUUAUAAUUGGGUUUGGUCAAACGGUUGUUCUAUAGGAUAUGAGUUAAGAGUCUAGAAGCUGACUUUAUAAUCCUCAGAGAGUAAAGAUUCUAGUUAGAAUUUUGUACUUGAACUCUAUUUGUUUUAGGGCCUUUUAAAACAAACACCUCCCACUAUUUCCUCGAAUCUCUUACACUCCUCUGGUAGAGAAACGGAAACCUGCGACUCUAGGUUUCAAGUGGGGUGCUACGGUCCCACCAAUUUACAUGCCACCUCACCUAACGGUUAUUGGUGAUACAUAAAAGGAUGAGUGUACAACUCUUGUACAAUGCUUCUCAAGCAAAUUGCAGCGCUAUCCGGUCUCUAGGUCAUGAAAGCCUCACCUAACAGUUAUUGGCUCCAUUUCUUAGUUAAGUCAGACCCGCCGUAUAACCGCAGAAGUAAAGUCGUCAUUGGGUCCUCACCUAACAGUUAUUGGCGCCCAACCCCAUCUUUAUCCCUACAACAUCUCAUGCCUAAUAGAGAGGUC
rnacentral:lncRNA from 1 species